CAUCAACGAGAGAGCCUGAGGCAUGAUCUCCUUAAAAACCAUGUCUUUUUCCUCAACUGUUGCGGUUUCAAGUUUUUGCUGUAUGAAACGGCUUCCGUAUUGGUCAGCGCUGCAUAAUCAAAGUGAACAUCACAACCAGCUCAAAGAUUCAAAACUUCUGGCCUUAUUACUUUUGAAUUCAUCCAAUAGUGAAGAUGGGAAGUUAUCAUUCAUAUAGCCACUUGGAUCAGAAUUCCAGCCACCCAAGUUUCUCAAGUUAGAAGGAAAUCUCAUAUUCCGCUCACUGAGUCUAAGUGGACUGCCAGGACCAGAUGGAGAAGCAACAGGACUUCCCAAAGGGCUUCCAGGGUAUGCCAUGCCCAUGCCAAAAGCCAAAUUGCCAUAAUAGCCAUGGUUUGACGUGGUUGACUUACCAAGUGGCAUUCCAUAUUGUUUCUGCUGCUGAAGCAAAGCUUCAAUAUAAGCUUUCUGAACAGCAGUUAAAUCACCAUAUUGACUACCCAUGAAACCUCUUUCCAAGGAAGGAUCACUGCAGUUGGCAGUUCCUUGUGCUGCAUAUUGAGUUGCCUUCAAGUACUGGACAUAAAAUGGAUCAGAAAGAGGCGACAAAAGACCUGUGGCUGUUUGGUUACCAGUUCUGCCAAGGUUAUGCACAUCAGAUAGACUUAAGGUAGGUGACGACAAAAUAUUGUUACCAAGGUUUCUCGAAUCUGCCCCGAAUGAAGCUAUAGCAGAUGCAGCAGCUGCACUUUCGAACAAAGGAGGCAUAUUGCCAGAGCCCAUACAGUUCAUCAUCAUAGAAGGCAAACCCGGGCUGAGUGGAUACCCACCGAGUCCAUAUAUCAGCUUCCAACAUCAGCGAAUGCUGAUUCUUAUUAACUUGGAGAGCUUUUGGAUCAAGAGAAAUAUUCUGGUGGUCACUUAUCUCACUUUGGAACUUUGAUUGACUAAUGCUGUUACUGUCACCCAAAGUACCAUCUUUUGACAUGUUCAUGUUUGAUAUUGCAGCUAAAAUAUCAUCAGGCUCAACUGCUUUUGAAGAUGCAGUGUUGAAUGAUGAUGAGCAAUUCAGCUUCUUCUCAUUAGAAUUAAUCCUAACACCGACAGGUGGAAGGCCAGGACUAGGGACCCUAGGGACAUAAUGAGAAUCUGGUGUGGCAUUCCUUGAAAUAGAUGAACCCAGAACAGAUGCAAAAGUUUGAGAUGCGGAUGCAUUAAUACUGGGAAGGCCACUGACAUUUUGCACAUUUCCGACAGCACGUUGUGCUUCCAGAAUAUCAUUAUGCAUGGAGUACUGGCUAUCAGCAGAAUUUAGUAGUUCCUGAUUGUCAAGAAAAGAAUUGCGACUAACUGCACGAGAGGGAUGCUCUGAAGCAGGAGUUCUGCGGCCAAUAUUAACACAGGCCUCCCCACCGUCGGCUCAUGUCCAGUCUCCUCCGGCGAUACCUUCCUUCCGUCACCAAUUCCUCCAACCACCCCCGCCUUCAGUCUCUGUGUGGACCGCCAGUCCUCCUUGGAUAGCACCGGCGGUGGCAACCUUGGGUUCAGAUUGCCAUGCGAGUAGUAGUAGGAUAGAUAGGCCGGGUCAGCCCGGAGCUCAUCCUCCGAGAGGAG
rnacentral:sRNA from 1 species